rnacentral:rRNA from 1 species
UACGGAGGGUGCGAACGUUGUUCGGAAUUACUGGGCGUAAAGCGCGUGUAGGCUGUUCGGAAAGUCGGGUGUGAAAGCCCUGGGCUCAACCUAGGAAGUGCACUCGAAACUCCCGAACUCGAGUCCCGGAGAGGAAGGCGGAAUUCUCGGUGUAGAGGUGAAAUUCGUAGAUAUCGAGAGGAACAUCGGUGGCGAAGGCGGCCUUCUGGACGGUGACUGACGCUGAGACGCGAAAGCGUGGGGAGCAAACAGG